rnacentral:rRNA from 1 species
UGGAAAGUUGGGGGUGAAAUCCCGAGGCUCAACCUCGGAACUGCCUUCAAAACUCCCAGUCUAGAGUUCGAGAGAGGUGAGUGGAAUUCCAAGUGUAGAGGUGAAAUUCGUAGAUAUUUGGAGGAACACCAGUGGCGAAGGCGGCUCACUGGCUCGAUACUGACGCUGAGGUGCGAAAGUGUGGGGAGCAAACAGGAUUAGAUACCCUGGUAGUCCACACCGUAAACGAUGAAUGCCAGUCGUCGGGCAGUAUACUGUUCUGUGACACACCUAACGGAUUAAGCAUUCCGCCUGGGGAGUACGGUCGCAAGAUUAAAACUCAAAGGAAUUGACGGGG